ACUCUUCAAAUGAAAAUGAUAACUUUAAAUUACAAAAAAAUCACAACUUUAUCAAAAAUAUUAAAAACUUUUAUUA
rnacentral:tRNA from 1 species